CUCUUGAUGGCUUUUCGUGCCUUCGUUGUGUAUUAAACACAUACGCAGUCUUUCACGAUGCUCUCAAAUAUCUGUGUGAGCAGACUGUAUGUGUUGAUGAGGGCGGUGGCGCUUACGGGCGCUUCCUUCAGGAUGGCUGUGCACAAAGCUGGGUGGGGGAAAAAUCUGAAAAUAGCCACAACAGGAAACUGGACUACACCGCUGCGCAGCAUCAAGACUCACCGGGGAUCGAGCGCAUGACAUGAAUCAUCGACCAACUGUGACGAAAGCACCGGUUUCCGUAGUGUAGUGGUUAUCACGUUCGCCUCACACGCGAAAGGUCCCCAGUUCGAAACUGGGCGGAAACACUUUGAUGCGUUGCUGUUGUUUCCAGUGGAGAUUGCCGCACUUAUCAGAAAGUGGCCAGUCGUAAGGAGUAGGUGUGGGACGGUCGUGAAGCUGCAGGAACGCAUUCUGGAACCAAGUCCGAAACAAAGCAUUUCAGAACUCUCAAUUUAGCGUAUGACAAAGAGGAGGCAAUAUUGCAACUGCCACUCAAACAAGACAGUGUGCUGUACAAACAUCUAACAUCUUCGCAGUCCCACCGAGAUUUGAACUCGGAUCACUGGAUUCAAAGUCCAGAGUGCUCACCAUUACACCAUGGAACCAGCUUGAAGGUUGCGCACGCAGUUGUGAACAUGUUUCUCACUUGACUUCAGCCUACCUACUGUUGCGAUAGAUACUGCCCUGUAACAGGACUGAGCUUAAGUCCAAGCGACCAGAAACCUCAGCUAAGCCAAAGCUGUGUUCACAAACUAAAGGACUAGUAAUAUCAGCAGAGCAAUUGAUACUCAAGUUGUACACAUGAGCAAAGCCAGGUACCUGCAACUGGAUUUUUGUAGAAACUGCUUUGGCCUUCCAUUAGUCUUCCUCCCCACUGCAAGGAGCGAUGUCUUCGUCCUCCAGCCCAAAAGGUUGUUCUUGUUGUUGCCAGGUGAAAACAGUAGCAGUCUGCACCCUGAAUGGAGCCAAAAGGAAUGGAAGCUGCCUCAUCACAAGACUUGAAUAGCAGUUCCCCAACCCUACACCUUCAUAGAGGACUUUUUCUCAUGUCUGCUGGAGACCACCUUCAACAUGGAACUGAAAAUGCCUCCUCUUAGCAUCUUUAUUUUUCUGUGUCAAAGCAGAUUAUUUUGCAUGUUUUAUCUUCAGACUAUUUACCCGUAAAUUAUGCACCAUGUUACUGUUGGUGAUUGUUGUAAACAUCAUUGUCAAUGUUUUUUUGUGUUGUUUACUUCAAUUUUCAAUAAAGACACAUUUUCUGUA